CACAUGCAAGCCGAGCGGUAACAGGUCCAGCUUGCUGGAUGCUGACGAGCGGCGGACGGGUGAGUAAUGCAUAGGAAUCUGCCCGAUAGUGGGGGAUAACCUGGGGAAACCCAGGCUAAUACCGCAUACGUCCUACGGGAGAAAGGGGGCUCCGGCUCCCGCUAUUGGAUGAGCCUAUGUCGGAUUAGCAAGAUGGUGAGGUAAUGGCUCACCAAGGCAACGAUCCGUAGCUGGUCUGACAGGAUGAUCAGCCACAUCGGGACUGAGACACGGCCCGAACUCCUACGGGAGGCAGCAGUGGGGAAUAUUGGACAAUGGGGGCAACCCUGAUCCAGCCAUGCCGCGUGUGUGAAGAAGGCCCUCGGGUUGUAAAGCACUUUCAGCGAGGAAGAACGCCUAGUGGUUAAUACCCAUUAGGAAAGACAUCACUCGCAGAAGAAGCACCGGCUAACUCCGUGCCAGCAGACGCGGUAAUACGGAGGGUGCAAGCGUUAAUCGGAAUUACUGGGCGUAAGCGCGCGUAGGUGGCUUGAUAAGCCGGUUGUGAAAGCCCCGGGCUCACCUGUGAACGGCAUC
rnacentral:rRNA from 1 species